rnacentral:rRNA from 1 species
GACGUAGUGCGCGAGCGUUGUCCGGAUUUAUUGGGCGUAAAGAGCUCGUAGGCGGCUUGUCGCGUCGUCCGUGAAAACCUGGGGCUCAACCCCAGGCUUGCGGUCGAUACGGGCAGGCUAGAGUUCGGUAGGGGAGACUGGAAUUCCUGGUGUAGCGGUGAAAUGCGCAGAUAUCAGGAGGAACACCGGUGGCGAAGGCGGGUCUCUGGGCCGAUACUGACGCUGAGGAGCGAAAGCGUGGGGAGCGAACAGG